rnacentral:rRNA from 1 species
CGAAGGGGGCUAGCGUUGCUCGGAAUCACUGGGCGUAAAGCGCACGUAGGCGGAUCGUUAAGUCAGGGGUGAAAUCCUGGAGCUCAACUCCAGAACUGCCUUUGAUACUGGCGAUCUUGAGUUCGGGAGAGGUGAGUGGAACUGCGAGUGUAGAGGUGAAAUUCGUAGAUAUUCGCAAGAACACCAGUGGCGAAGGCGGCUCACUGGCCCGAUACUGACGCUGAGGUGCGAAAGCGUGGGGAGCAAAUAGGAUUAGAUACCCUGGUAGUCCACGCCGUAAACGAUUAGAGCUAGUUGUCGGCACGCAUGCGUGUCGGUGACGCAGCUAACGCAUUAAGCUCUCCGCCUGGGGAGUACGGUCGCAAGAUUA